CGUAUAUUAACGUUGUUGCAGUUAAAAAGCUCGUAGUUGGAUUUGUGGUUCGUUGCGCGGUCCCAAUAUUAUGUUGGGUGCUGUCGCGAGGAGCCAUCCUUGGGUGGAAUCUGUGUGGCAUUAGGUUGUCGCGCAGGGGAUGCCCAUCGUUUACUGUGAAAAAAUUAGAGUGUUCAAAGCAGGCUUAUGCCGUUGAAUAUAUUAGCAUGGAAUAAUGAGAUAGGACCUUGGUACUAUUUUGUUGGUUUGCGCACCGAGGUAAUGAUUAAUAGGGACAGUUGGGGG
rnacentral:rRNA from 1 species